UACGUAGGGGGCAAGCGUUGUCCGGAAUCAUUGGGCGUAAAGAGCGUGUAGGCGGCUCGGUAAGUCCGCUGUGAAAGUCCAGGGCUCAACCCUGGAAUGCCGGUGGAAACUGUCGAGCUAGAGUCCGGAAGAGGCGAGUGGAAUUCCUGGUGUAGCGGUGAAAUGCGUAGAGAUCGGAAAGAACACCAACGGCGAAAGCACUCUGCUGGGCCGACACUGACACUGAGAGACGAAAGCUAGGGGAGCGAAUGGG
rnacentral:rRNA from 1 species